CGUUGAUUACGUCCCUGCCCUUUGUACACACCGCCCGUCGCUCCUACCGAUUGAAUGGUCCGGUGAAGUGUUCGGAUCGCGGGGACGCGGGGGGUUCGCCGCCCGCGACUCUGCGAGAAGUCCAUUGAACCUUAUCAUUUAGAGGAAGUAAAAGUCGUAACAAGGU
rnacentral:rRNA from 1 species